GCGCAGCAGGCGAGAAUAUUCGGCAAUGGACGAAAGUCUGACCGAGCGACGCCGCGUGCAGGAUGAAGGCCUUCGGGUUGUAAACUGCUUUCUAUGGGAAGAAUUUCGAUGACGGUACCAUAGGAAUAAGAGGUUACUAACUCUGUGCCAGCAGUAGCGGUAAUACAGAGACCUCAAGCGUUAUCCGGAUUUAUUGGGCGUAAAGCGUAGGUAGGCGGCCAUGUUAGUCGGGUGUCAAAGCCCCGGGCUCAACCCGGGAAAGGCAUUCGAAACGGCAUGGCUCGAGAGUGUGAGAGAUCGGUGGAAUUCAUAGUGUAGUAGUGAAAUGCGUUGAUAUUAUGAGGAACACCCCAAGGGCGAAAGGCAACCCGAUUGGCACGAUUUCUGACGCUCAGCUACGAAAGCGUGGGUAGCGAAUGGGAUUAGAUACCCGCGUAGU
rnacentral:rRNA from 1 species